AUCCAGCUGACGAGUCCCAAAUAGGACGAUACGUGCGUCCUGGAU
rfam:Schistosoma margrebowiei strain Zambia genome assembly, scaffold: SMRZ_contig0000454